rnacentral:rRNA from 1 species
AACGAACGCUGGCGGCAUGCCUAACACAGGCAAGUCGAACGAGACCAUCGGGUCUAGUGGCGCACGGGUGCGUAACGCGUGGGAAUCUGCCCCUCGGUUCGGAUUAACAGUUAAAAAUGAAUGCAAAUCACGGAUAAUGACUUCGGGCAAAAGAUUCAUCGCCGAUGGAUGAGCGCGCGUAAGAUUAGGUAGUUGGUGGGGUAAAGGCCUACCAAGCCGACGAUCUUUAGCUGGUCUGAGAGGAUGAUCAGCCACACUGGGACUGAGACACGGCCCAGACUCCUACGGGAGGCAGCAGUGGGGAAUAUUGGACAAUGGGCGAAAGCCUGAUCCAGCAAUGCCGCGUGAGUGAUGAAGGCCUUAGGGUUGUAAAGCUCUUUUACCAGGGAUGAUAAUGACAGUACCUGGAGAAUAAGCUCCGGCUAACUCCGUGCCAGCCGCCGCAGUAA